AAUCUUCCGCAAUGGACGAAAGUCUGACGGAGCAACGCCGCGUGAGUGAUGAAGGUCUUCGGAUCGUAAAACUCUGUUGUUAGGGAAGAACAAGUAUCGUUCGAAUAGGGCGGUACCUUGACGGUACCUAACCAGAAAGCCACGGCUGACUACGUGCCAGCAGCCGCGGUAAUACGUAGGUGGCAAGCGUUGUCCGGAAUUAUUGGGCGUAAAGCGCGCGCAGGCGGUCCUUUAAGUCUGAUGUGAAAUCUUGCGGCUUAACCGCAAGCGGUCGUUGGAAACUGGGGACUUGAGUACAGAAGAGGAGAGUGGAAUUCCACGUGUAGCGGUGAAAUGCGUAGAGAUGUGGAGGAACACCAGUGGCGAAGGCGGCUCUCUGGUCUGUCACUGACGCUGAGGCGCGAAAGCGUGGGUAGCGAACA
rnacentral:rRNA from 1 species